AUUGAACGCUGGCGGCAUGCCUUACACAUGCAAGUCGAACGGUAACAGGUCUUCGGAUGCUGACGAGUGGCGAACGGGUGAGUAAUACAUCGGAACGUGCCUAGUAGUGGGGGAUAACUACUCGAAAGAGUGGCUAAUACCGCAUGAGAUCUACGGAUGAAAGCAGGGGAUCGCAAGACCUUGUGCUACUAGAGCGGCCGAUGGCAGAUUAGGUAGUUGGUGGGAUAAAAGCUUACCAAACCGACGAUAUGUAGCUGGUCUGAGAGGACGAUCAGCCACACUGGGACUGAGACACGGCCCAGACUCCUACGGGAGGCAGCAGUGGGGAAUUUUGGACAAUGGGCGCAAGCCUGAUCCAGGAAUGCCGCGUGAAGGAUGAAGGCCUUCGGGUUGUAAACUGCUUUUGUACGGAACGAAAAGCCCUGGGUUAAUACCCUGGGGUCAUGACGGUACCGUAAGAAUAAGCACCGGCUAACUACGUGCCAGCCGCCGCAGUAAAAC
rnacentral:rRNA from 1 species